UACGGAGGGGGCGAGCGUUAUUCGGAAUUAUUGGGCGUAAAGGGCGCGUAGGCGGCUUGAUAAGUCAAAGGUGAAAUCCCUCGGCUCAACUGAGGAACUGCCUUUGAAACUGUCUGGCUUGAGGCCGGGAGGGGGUAGCGGAAUUCCCAGUGUAGCGGUGAAAUGCGUAGAUACUGGGAGGAACACCGGUGGCGAAGGCGGCUACCUGGACCGGUUCUGACGCUGAGGCGCGAAAGCGUGGGUAGCAAACAGGAUUAGAAACCCCAGUAGUCC
rnacentral:rRNA from 1 species